rnacentral:tRNA from 1 species
CACGCGCUGGCCGACGGUGGUGGAGAUCAGCGUCUGCAGGACGUUGAAGACGCUGUUCACCACGGCGGUGAGGAUCAUCCCGAGCGCGAGC